rnacentral:rRNA from 1 species
AAACGCUGGGCGGGCGUUGCUUAACACAUGCAAUUCGAGCGGUAAGGCCUUUCGGGGUACACAAGCGGCGAACGGGUGAGUAACACGUGGGUGAUCUGCCCUGCACUUCGGGAUAAGCCUGGGAAACUGGGUCUAAUACCGGAUAUGACCUCAGGUCGCAUGACUUGGGGUGGAAAAAUUUAUCGGUGCAGGAUGGGCCCGCGGCCUAUCAGCUUGUUGGUGGGGUAAUGGCCUACCAAGGCGACAACGGGUACCCGACCUGAAAGGGUGACCGGCCACACUGGGACUGAAACACGGCCCAAACUCCUACGGGAGGCAGCAGUGGGGAAUAUUGCACAAUGGGCGAAAGCCUGAUGCACCGACCCCGCGUGAGGGAUGACGGCCUUCGGGUUGUAAACCUCUUUCAGCAGGGACAAACGCAAGUGACGGUACCUGCAGAAGAAGCCCCGGCUAACUACGUGCCAGCAGCCGCGGUAUUACUUAGGGUGCAAGCGUUGUCCGGAAUUACUGGGCGUAAAGAGUUCGUACGCGGUUUGUCGCGUCGUUUGUGAAAACCAGCAGCUCAACUGCUGGCUUGCAGGCGAUACGGGCAGACUUGAGUACUGCAGGGGAGACUGGAAUUCCUGGUGUAGCGGUGAAAUGCGCAGAUAUCAGGAGGAACACCGGUGGCGAAGGCGGGUCUCUGGGCACUAACUGACGCUGAGGAACGAAAGCGUGGGUAGCGAACAGGAUUACAUACCCUGGUAGUCCACGCCGUAAACGGUGGGCGCUAGGUGUGGGUUCCUUCCACGGAAUCCGUGCCGUAGCUAACGCAUUAAGCGCCCCGCCUGGGGAGUACGGCCGCAAGGCUAAAACUCAAAGGAAUUGACGGGGGCCCGCACAAUCGGCGGAACAUGUGGAUUAAUUCGAUGCAACGCGAAGAACCUUACUGGGUUUGACAUAUACCGGAAAGCUGCAGAGAUGUGGCCCCCUUUGUGGUCGGUAUACAGGUGGUGCAUGGCUGUCGUCAGCUCGUGUCGUGAGAUGUUGGGUUAAGUCCCGCAACGAGCGCAACCCCUAUCUUAUGUUGCCAGCACGUUAUGGUGGGGACUCGUAAGAGACUGCCGGGGUCAACUCGGAGGAAGGUGGGGACGACGUCAAGUCAUCAUGCCCCUUAUGUCCAGGGCUUCACACAUGCUACAAUGGCCAGUACAGAGGGCUGCGAGACCGUGAGGUGGAGCGAAUCCCUUAAAGCUGGUCUCAGUUCGGAUCGGGGUCUGCAACUCGACCCCGUGAAGUCGGAGUCGCUAGUAAUCGCAGAUCAGCAACGCUGCGGUGAAUACGUUCCCGGGCCUUGUACACACCGCCCGUCACGUCAUGAAAGUCGGUAACACCCGAAGCCGGUGGCUUAACCCCUUGUGCGAGGAGCCGUCGAANGUGGGAUCGGCGAUUGGGCG